ACCGAGUAGNGGGGGAGAGCCNUNGGAAACGAUGAUUAAUACCGCAUAUAUCCUACGGGGGAAAGCAGGGGACCUUCGGGCCUUGCGCUAUUCGAUGAGCCUGAGUGAGAUUAGCUAGUUGGUGGGGUAAAGGCCUACCAAGGCGACGAUCUCUAGCUGGUCUGAGAGGAUGAUCAGCCACACUGGGACUGAGACACGGCCCAGACUCCUACGGGAGGCAGCAGUGGGGAAUAUUGCACAAUGGGCGAAAGCCUGAUGCAGCCAUGCCGCGUGUGUGAAGAAGGCCUUAGGGUUGUAAAGCACUUUCAGCGAGGAGGAAAGGUUAGUAGUUAAUAACUGCUAGCUGUGACGUUACUCGCAGAAGAAGCACCGGCUAAUUUAGUGCCAGCNC
rnacentral:rRNA from 1 species